rnacentral:rRNA from 1 species
UACGGAGGAGGCAAGCGUUAUCCGGAAUUAUUGGGCGUAAAGCGUCCGCAGGUGGCACUUCAAGUCUGUCGUCAAAGACUGGGGCUUAACCCUGGAAAGGCGGUGGAAACUGAAGCGCUAGAGUGCGGUAGGGGUAGAGGGAAUUCCCGGUGUAGCGGUGAAAUGCGUAGAGAUCGGGAAGAACAUCGGUGGCGAAAGCGCUCUACUGGACCGCAACUGACACUCAGGGACGAAAGCGUGGGUAGCAAACAGG